UCCUGGCCCCUGGUGCUCACCCUGAUCAGAGGGUCCCUCAUGGCAGCCGGCUUCCUUCUCACCUAUGGCCUCACGUGGCUCUACUACACCAGGUGCGGAGGCCCCCAGCUUCACGCCUCGACACCGAGAUGAGCACGGGGCACCCAGAGCCACAGCCGCGGCCAUGUCACGCUAGCCUCUCCCUGGAGGCAGCUCUCUGCGACUCUUUCCUGCCUGCCUCCUUCCCUGUCCUUAAUCCACCAAGCCCGGCACGUCCUGCCCCAUCCCAGCUUCACCUGCUGCCCUUCUCAUCCCUCCCCACCACCUGCUCCAACAUGUGACUGGGCUGCAUGCUUCAGGUCCCCCACACCUGAGAGCUUGCCUUGUUGACCAUGGAAGGACAGGGGAGGCCAGAAAUGACCCAUCCCCGAGACCCGGAUGCACUGCGCAUUGCAAGCCUGGCUGCUCCCUCCACCUGGAGCUGCGACUGUGAAACACGACCAAGGGCAUCUCCACAUGGAAGACACAGGACCGCCCGGGAACAGAUGUUACUCUUGAAGGCCCCUGCGGAUCCUUGUAGACCUCAAGGACAUCUGGGCAUGUUUGCACGCAGGCUGUGGUGUCCGCAUGACCCCGUGGAUGUUCAGUAGAGAAUGUGUCCAUGGUGACCCGGCUUGGGGAGGGUGGCAGGCUGACAGAGCCACAGUGAUGGAUUCUCCCACACCCUGGGCCCUUGAUGGACGCACAGCCUGGUCCUCACAGCUGGUGCCUGGACCCCUCCCUAGCUGUGUCCACGUCCUUCCUGCCUCCAUGGCUCACACAGGAUACCCAUCACUGCCGGGCUCUCCUCUCUAGUUUCAGCUUUGCCCAGCAUUCCCUGACCAGGCCGAUAUCUCCCAAGUCCUUAGCCAUAGAUUUUCUCUUUUCCUGUGUGACCCUGUUGGCCUCGUUCGUGCAUUUUGUUCACAUUCUGACUCCUGCGUGCCUGACAAUGGCAGAGGACCCAGAGCUGCGAAGGCAUCACAGUGGGACAGAGUGAGGACUUGGUUUGCAUGGACUUCCGAGGACUUUAGCGAGGAGGGUAUGCUGAGGUUCCCUGCCUGUGAUGGAGCAGGCUCAGCUGCACCUGCGUUACCACCUCCUAGAAA